GAAGAUUAAUUUAAUUAUGUUCCAUCUUAAUAGACGUAAAUCAUGCCAAUACUUCUAGGAUAUGCUCUUUGAUUACAUUAUCAUAAUUAUAUUAUGGAUAUAUGACUUUUAAAGAAGCUGUCGAUACUUGCUCUAUAUUUUUAAGGGGUAAAGCUUGCUGGUCAUUCACCAUUAAUUUAUAACCCAUCAAACACAAUACAUUGCAUUCAAUAUUUGUCUCUCAUUGCACCUGCUAGUCUCUGGAAAGAAAAAUGGCUUUAGAAACAGUUCUGUCUGUUGUACAUUAUUGAAGCUACUGCUCCUAUAUUGAUAUACCUGCCAGCUCAGCUAAAAUCAGUUACAUGAGUUUGUUAUUCUACAACUAGUUAGUUGUAACUAAGUUAUCUCUCUCUCUCUUUUUCUUGUAAUUAAUAUUAUGAGCAGUCUAUCAAUACUCCUGUACCUUCUCAGAUUCAUUUGAUGAUCUAAUAAAAAAACUUUCUCUCUGAUUCUUCCUUCUUUGAAUUCUCUUUAAAGUUUGAUUACAUUUAUGAAAAUAUCAUGGUAUCAGAGCAAGAAUCACUACGAUUUUGUUCUAGAAAUCUUAGAUGUUUAAGUUCAGCAUCUGUUCUUAUCAUAGCAUCACUGAAAAUUCUUCAUACAAUCAAUUUCUUUGCAAAAUUAUUGAGGUAUCUUUGAAUCUAAAAUUCUGAUUGAAUUCUUCUUGAGUUGAUUAAAUUUGUUUGUUGUGUUGUUGCAAUUCUUCUGAAAAUUUCUGAAAACUCUCCAGAAAUCUAUUGAAUACUUGUUCAAAUUUUGCAAAAUUGUUGCUGAAAAUUUGUUGAAUUGCUUAUUCUUGCUAAAAUUCUCUCUAUAACUAGUUGAACUCCCUAGAAUAAUGCUAAGAUCUCGUUGAAAUUCUUGUUCCUAUUGAUUGAUUGUCAAUUCUUCUUCACCUUAAGAUCUUUUGAAAUCUUGAAAUCAUUUGCUUGAUUAUCUAAAAUUGAGAAAAUUCUACCUCAUUGCACCUAAAGUGUUUGAGUAAAUUUCUCUGAAAACUCUUCUUCUUCUUAUCUGUCUGAACUUGUUUUUCACAUGUUCUUUACUUGUUUCAAAAUGUCUUCAACUGAAGAUUCUUCAUCAAACACGCUUCCUUUGAAUCAAAAUCCUACUAGUGUAUACUAUAUCCAUCCUUCUGAUUCAAACACUGCACAUCUUGUCUCUGUCAAGUUUAAUGGUGUAGGAUUCACAAACUGGAAAAGAUCUAUGAUCUUAACACUUAAUUUCAGCUAAAAAUAAACUAGGUUUUGUGACUGGUGAUAUUCAAGAACCUCCUUCUGAAAAAUCUGAUGAGCAUAAGGCUUGGAAAACAUGUAACACCUUAGUAUGUUCAUGGCUGUUGUAUAACUUGGAUGAAGUAAUUGCAAAGAGUGUACUAUUUCUUCAAACUGCAAAAGAAAUAUGGAAAGACUUGGAAGAGAGGUUUGGCUAUUCAUCCAUGGCUCAGGUAUACUCUUUAGAACAACAACUUGCAGAAAUAUCACAAGGCUCACAAAGUGUUUUAGAAUUUUUCACCAGCAUCAAAACUAUACGGGAUGCCAGCAGUGAUGCACAUCCUCUUCCUACAUGCACUUGUAAUCAGUGUUCUUGUAACCUUACUAAGAAGAUCUAUCAGAGACAACAAGAGCAAAGGCUUUUGCAAUUAUUAUGAAGCUAAAUGAGCAAUUUGCUACUGUGAGAGGAAAUGUGUUAAUGAUGCAACCUUUACCAAAUGUGUCUCAGGCAUAUAGGUUGUGUCUCAGGAAGAGAGACACAAAGAGAUUUCAAAUCUUUCUAAUUCAACUGAAUCUAUAGCUUUCUUAGCUGAUAAGAGACAGUUUUAUAAGCCUCCUUAGCAACAAGGAACUUAUCAAAAGUCAUACAACCAAAGCAAGAAUGUUUCAGGUAACAAGAGACCAGGAUCCAAUUACUAUUGCACUCAUUGCAAGGUACCUGGUCACAGCUAUGAGAGAUGCUUUAAAAUCCAUGGUUAUCCACCUGGUUUUAAAGCUAACAAAGAUAGAAGAAUAACAACUGCUACUUCUCACAAUCCUACUGAUGAUGCUAUGAAUGAAGGAUCUAACACCAUCAUUUUAGAUUAAUACAAUCACCUUCUGAGUUCGCUGAAAUAAGUCCCUGACUCUUCUUCCACCCAACCUAUUGAAGGAGAUACAAUUGGACAUGCCUUACUAGCAGGACCAUUCUCAGACAACUCCCUCAACUCUUCUUGGUAAUUUGAAGUGUGGUUUAUACAAUGUUGAAGUUCAACAGUUGACAAAGUCUACUUCACUUGUCUGUAAUAAACCUAAUUAUUCUGUUUUGCAAGAUGCUAAACUUUAUCACUUGAGAUUAGGUCAUUUACCUUUUCAUAGAUUGAAAUUUGUUCAACCAUCUUGUGAUGUUUCAGCUACUUUGCUUACCACCAU